rnacentral:rRNA from 1 species
UGUCUGAACAUGGGGGGACCAUCCUCCAAGGCUAAAUACUCCUUACCGACCGAUAGUGAACCAGUACCGUGAGGGAAAGGCGAAAAGAACCCCUGUGAGGGGAGUGAAAUAGAACCUGAAACCGUGUGCGUACAAGCAGUAGGAGCAGACUUGUUCUGUGACUGCGUACCUUUUGUAUAAUGGGUCAGCGACUUACAUUCAGUGGCGAGGUUAACCGAAUAGGGAAGCCGUAGAGAAAUCGAGUCCGAAUAGGGCGUUCAGUCGCUGGGUGUAGACCCGAAACCAAGUGAUCUAUCCAUGGCCAGGAUGAAGGUGCCGUAACAGGUACUGGAGGUCCGAACCCACUAAUGUUGAAAAAUUAGGGGAUGAGCUGUGGGUAGGGGUGAAAGGCUAAACAAACUUGGAAAUAGCUGGUUCUCUCCGA